AGAGCCCACGUUCUUCUUCCUCUAGGCCUGUCCGCAGGGUUCCUCCCCCAAAGAUCUGGAGUUGGAGGACCACUGGCAAGUCCUCAGCUGGCUUCAGGAAGCUUUCCCAUGGCCAGGUGCCAGCAACAGGGACAUCCCUGCAGCGCCCCCUUUAGAGACGUCAGUGCAGUACCAAUAGGUGUCGGCCAGCAGCAUCAGGUCAGACAAAGGCAUGCCUGUCUUUAGCUUCAGACCCUGGUAUGAGGGUGACCCUGAGGUGUCCUCCCUGCUAGUAAGACUUUCACAAGGCUCCUUCCUAUGUGAAGUGGGCCCUCUGGCCUCCCCCUGGUGCCUGUAGGAUGUGCGUAAAGUAAGUGACUCUUGCCCCCGAGGUGAGGGCCCUGCACGUCCCAGCUUCCUGUAGUGUGUUGUGUCUGUUGCAUUUCUUGGUAAUAGUAGAUUAGCGGGCGAGCUCAUACCCUUGUGCCCUGUCUCAAUGUGUGAAGGGCGUGCUGAGACACGUCUCCUGGGAGGUGUGGAGCAUGUCGCGUCCUACCUGGGUGUGCCUUGCUCUGCUCCAUGCCAGGCUUCCUUGGUGCUCACCACCCGGGCCACUGUUGGGCUGCGGCCUCCUGGCAACCAGCCCUCGUCACAUCACAGGGUCCUGGCCACAAGAAGCACAGGGUGGUCAUGCGGCGUGGGUGCCUGACUGUGCAAAAGUGUCAAGUUGCUCACCUUUUAAGGGGCCGUUUGCUCCAUGGCCUCCGUGGGGAAAUUGGGCGCAACCCCUGCUUGCCUGGGGUGGUAUCCGUACCUGCUCAGAACUGAUGCUGGGAAGACGCCGGCCACUGAGAGGCAGUGUGUCCUGAGGCCCGGCCUGUGGUUUUUGUGAGUAGCUGAAAGCCUGUGUCAGUAACAACCCAGGGCCAGACUGGGAGUGAGGCCUUCUACCUUCCUUGGUCAGGGAGAGGAAGGUAGCCUGAGGCACCGUGGCUGAGCCUCCUUUACCUCUUGGGGAUAGACAGAGCCAGCCUAGGCCACGAGCAGGCUGCAUGUGAGAGGAAUGGUUGAGAAUGAAUCAGGAUAACACAGCCGAGUGUGUGCUGGGCUCACACGGGAGACCAGAGCCUACAGCCAGCAUUCGAAGAAGCCAAGGGCUGUUAAGAGGGUCCGCAUCCCAGUCCGAAUCCAUCCCUUUCCUAAAGUAGCCUGUGCACAGAUGGCACCAUGUCCCUAAGACAGCACAACAGUCAGACAGCACAGCCAUCAGCUGAGGAAGGUGUCUGCUUACAGCCACCAUCCGCCUCCUGUCUUUCUCUGCUCCUUUUCCAUUUAUUCCAAGGACUGGGACUCCAGGGAGCUGUGGCCAGAGGCACUGUGGCUCUGCUUCCCGGGCAGGCCUUCAGACCCCCACCCCCAGAUCCCCUUCAAAACGACUUCCGUCUGACUGUGUGGCCAGCCUCGAGAACCUAGCGGUCAGAUACAGCCCCCUGUGGAUAGCUGGUUAGCUUGGGCCUGACAUUAAUGACCCCACUGCAACCAGGCAGUUUACACAGCGGUCACCUGUGGCAGGCCCAGCAGCAGUAGACAGCAUCCAGCAAAGAUGAGGGUGUGUGGGACACCAAGCAUCAGGGCCAUGGGUAGAGCACUCCUGCCCGCCCACGAGGAGACCAGGGGGAGUGCCACGGCCAACAGCAUGGUCCUUCUGCCUUCUUACCCGCACACUGCCAAGCAUUGCAGGGACUGUACUUUGUACCUGGCCAAGAUGUCCCCCUCACCCCCCUACCCCCACAGGUGACAGGGUGGGUCAGUCCCUACCCUCCUAUACAUCCCUCUGCUUGGGACCAUCAGUGAAUGGAGAAGGGCUUGGUGGGGCGUAGGGUACUUAUUUUUUUUUUUUUUUUUUACUUUCAAUCGAGCCCUUUACUGGCUACACUGCAGGAGAGCUAGUGUGGGUUUCAUGCCGUUGUGUCCUGAGUGUGUGUGACAAAUGAGGGUCUGUCCCCACAUCUUCUCAGACUAAGAUUCUGUCUCCUGUUUGCCAAUCCACAGCAGCUGAUUUCUCCAAGCUUGAAUGAGCCCAUGGGGGUCUGAUCAGGUGAGGUGACCGCUGGCAAGUGACCCAGCCCUUGUCAACUCUCCCACCCCAGCUGCUGCUGCCAUGAGCACUGUGGGAUCUGGGAGCUGGGUUAGCGGGGACAGUAAGAAGGGGCCAGGAGCCCAUCCCCAAAACCUGGACAUGUCCUAGCCUGGUGUCUGCCUGGGCACCAAUACUAGGCAGGCAGGCAGAGUAUAUGAUCAUUUCCCUUGCACCCCAUGUCUGGAAUCUUUCUCGUGAGCUCACUGUGGAAAGGAGGUUACAAGCCCAGGGUCACUGUGCCACUCCAUAGUCAGUCCCCUUAGUAAGUAACCUUCAAAGGCAAAUAAAUGACCUAAUUAAAAAACACAAAAGCCGGCCUUCCUUCCAAGGAGUCCCCUAAGAAUCUGUGGGCGCUCUGCUCCGACUGAGGAAGUCGGAGUAAAUGCAGACAGCUGCAGACUGUUCUAGAGUUCCGUUCUUUUCUCUGAUGGCACAUCUCUUGUGUUCAGUUAUUACCCAAAAAAACAAAGACCAAAGAAGGCCAAUCUCUCAUUUGACCGUGUUUUUAAUCUGCCUGUUUUGACACAUGCCGUCUGUAGUAACCGCUCGCUGUGAGGCCCCAUCUUGACAGUCCAAGUGAUCGUGACCAGUGAUUAGCGUCCCGUGUUCUUCUGCUCUUCUAAGAAACUGAGACAGUGUGAGUCAUUGCCCAGCAAUAAUGUCACCAGGAGUCAGCAGCACGCCUCAUCUCCUGACAGCAUUAUGAUGUUUCGAUUCUGUUUACUGUGUGUUACAUGUGGUUUCAUUUGGUAUUUAUUUGUGUUUUGAGGUCUUGCGAUGUUUCUGUUCUGCUGCUAAUAAUAAAAUUUGUAAGACUGUAGAAUGCAAAAUUUUGCAAUGCUAAAGUGUCUAUUAGAGGAAAAUAAAGCUGAUUUAAGAGUCCUGCUUCCUUA
rnacentral:lncRNA from 1 species